UACGAAGGGAGCUAGCGUUGUUCGGAAUCACUGGGCGUAAAGCGCACGUAGGCGGAUCUUUAAGUCAGGGGUGAAAUCCUGGAGCUCAACUCCAGAACUGCCUUUGAUACUGAGGAGCUUGAGUCCGGGAGAGGUGAGUGGAAACUGCGAGUGUAGAGGUGAAAUUCGUAGAUAUUCGCAAGAACACCAGUGGCGAAGGCGGCUCACUGGCCCGGUACUGACGCUGAGGUGCGAAAGCGUGGGGAGCGAAGAGG
rnacentral:rRNA from 1 species